UAGAGUCGCAGGCAACGUUUUAGACU
rnacentral:piRNA from 1 species